rnacentral:rRNA from 1 species
UACGGAGGGUGCGAGCGUUGUCCGGAAUCACUGGGCGUAAAGGGCGCGUAGGCGGCCCGCGCAAGCGUGCGGUGAAAGCCCAGGGCUCAACCCCGGGUCGGCCGUGCGGACUGCGGGGCUCGAGCACUGUAGGGGCAGAUGGAAUUCCGGGUGUAGCGGUGGAAUGCGUAGAGAUCCGGAAGAACACCGGUGGCGAAGGCGGUCUGCUGGGCAGUAGCUGACGCUGAGGCGCGACAGCGUGGGGAGCAAACAGG